CAACGUUUCCUUGGCAUCAACUAAAGAUUUUCAUUUACGCACUAUAGUGAAGAAAGAACCCACCAACUACUAUAAUUUAACUGAGUGAAUUGAAAAUCCAUUGCGAUGUGCCUUAGCAGGUGUAAAGUUGAAUAAUUUGGGCUAAAUCAAUAUGGCGGAACUACUGAAGUAUAGGGUGAAAAAGAAAUCAAGGAAGAAAUGCAGGAAUUACUGAGGUUUAAGCUCAUGUUAUUAUUCACGUUUUCAUAGAUUCAGUAUUUUCAAGUGUCCAGUAUUCGUAUUAAUAAUCAAUUCAAUCAAAAAUGAUGAUGAUCCAGCUGUUGCAUACAUUGAGAGAACUUCCCUACUUUUUAACGGUCCUUGAGAGAAAUAUGACGUAUUUGAGGAGUGUGAUUUUGUAUAUUGGAAAUUAAUUGAUUCGUUUUCAUGUCAUAAGUAAUGAAAUUGUUAAUUCAUACAUAAACCAUGCAAGAGUCAGUUAAAAAGUGAAUUUUUUAUAUGUUGAAAGGAAAAAAGACGUUUUUUCACCGUAAAAUAUGAUUUGGGAUUUCCUAAUGAAUGAAACGGAUUGAGUACUUAUAAAUAAAUAAACCAUGUAUCUGUUAAUUCCACACAAGCAUCACUUUUGAAUCUUUACACGUAGAAAAAAAUCCAUAUCUUUUAUGGAAAUUCAAAUGAAAUAUUUUCUUGAGCUCUUUCAUUAUCACCAGAUUCCACGAAUAGUUUAGAGUUAUAUUAAUAUACCGAUGAUAUUCUCCACAGAAGCAAUAGCUUUCUGCACCAGUUAUGAAUAGGUAUCCUACUGAGUACGUAGAUUCUAAUCCUUUGAGGAACAUGAAAAUGAACCCUUAGAAAUGCCGUCCAAUCAGUGGUAUCAUUAUUGUGAUUAUAUACGCAUAAUCUAUACAAUUUAUGAUACCAACUAAUAUAAGAGUAGUUUAUUAAUGUAGUUGGUAAUGAUCUAGAAAUAAACACAUAAGAAUGUAAAUAAGUGGAUUAUAUGAAUAGAUAAUAAUUAACGAA